ensembl:lncRNA
AUGUAAUCAAAUGGAAAAGUCCCUUUUUAAAACUUGUUUUAUUAGUUUUAAUCUUUUAACUUUAUGCAUCAAGCAAAAAUGUAAUUAUAUGCAACAUUCUCUGACUGGAAGAAAUUAGUUUAAUAUUUAAACCUAUUUUCUGCACAUUCCAGCACAUAAAAUAAUUUUUUUGUGUGUGUUUACACUCACUCUUUCAAAUAGAUGCAAGUAAAACACAGCAGAAAAUAAAUAGUCAAAGACUACACUGUUAAAAAAAACAUCUUAAAAAAACGGUGAUAUUCUGGCAGCUGGGGCGCCAAAAUACGACCGUAAAAUAACAGAAAAUAACUGUCCCAUAAAAAUACGGUUAUUUUCAGUGAUGAAAAUAGAGUUUGUUGCCCUAAGUUCACAUGGGAUUCUGCCUUUUCCAAGUGCUUUUAGACAUUAAGGCUGGCUGUAGCUCAGGUGGCAGAGCAGGUCAGCCACUAAUCAGAAGGUCGGUGGUUCAAUCCCAGGCUGCCUCCUGGCUGCAUGCCAAAUAUCCUUGGGCAAGAUACUAACCCCAUGUUUGCCUACUGGUGGUGGUCAGAGGGCCCGGUGGCGCCAGUGUCCGGCAGCCUCGCCUCUGUCAGUGUGCCCCAGGGCAGCUGUGGCUCCAAUGUAGCUUGCUAUCGCCAGUGUGUGAAUGACUGAAUGUACUAGAAAAGCACUAUACAAAUGCAGGCCAUUUUCCUUUUGUUUGCAAUUAAUGUAGUUACUAUGGACUUAAUGCAUACAUAUUAUUAAAAUAUGGGCUAUAACAGUUAUAUUGAUGUAUAGCAACUUGAAAUACUCCAACAAAUGGCACUACAGCAUGUAAAAAAAUAAUAUAAGCUCUGGCGGACUUGGUUCUAUGACAAAACCCUGAAGAAAAAUGUCAGAGACAUCGUCACCUUGUCUGAUGAUGAUGUUAGAGUGGCAGAGAAGGUCCUCCAGCUGCUCAA